ensembl:lncRNA
ACCAUGAUGAGGAAGUUACAGAGAAGCUGCCACAGGGGGAUGACACACCACCAUUGUCAAAGUCAGCAACCAAAGAAGAAGGAGGUGAAAGCAACGAAGGUGAAGAAGAACCGGAUGACGACAAAGACGAAGGAGGAGAAGAAGAAGAGCGUGAUGAUGGUAAUGUAGCUGCAGACCAUUAAAGCAUAUUUUCAAAGCCUCUCGUCUUUCUCAAAGCUUCUUGACUUCGUUUGUUAUCAGAAAUUGAAUCUUCUAUUUCUGUCUGUUCCUUCCAUGCGCCACCUCGCCAUUAAAAAAAAAAUUUAACUUAUCACACAAGCUUGGAACAAAGAAAUCCUUCAAUUAUGGAUGGCUUUAGAUGGGACAUUCUCCGUCUCCGUUUUCUUUUUUUUUUCUCUUUUAAUUUAUUAAUGUCUUUGUGGUUCCAUUGCUCUCAUACUGCAAUACAAAGGCAAAGCUCCACAAACUGUGGGAAUAAAGACUUUUUUGAGGUUACGUCGAAAUCCAAGUCUACUCGGCUUCACCCAACCCAAAUGUUUUCCACUCUCUUGACCUUCUCUCUGUUUUUAGAUGGGCCGUUAAACAACGACGUGGAGAUGCUCAGUCAAAACCCAGAGGAAAAUCCAGCCGGAGAUGAGCCAAACCAAGAACAACAGGACGAAGAAAAAGAAAGCCGAGACAAAGAUGAAGAUAUGGCUGUGGACGAUGGGAAGAAGGACAGCGAGGAGAAGGGCCUCGCCACUGAAAAUACUGAAGACAAAGCUGACAAAAAAGAACCUGAAGCAAAGAUGGUGGAAGAAGAGCCAGCAAACUCUGCUAAGGAUAAAGAAGGGGUUUCCAGCACUAAUGCCGGCGACGAAGAUGAGAUGGUAGAUCCUGUUGAGCCUUCAGCAUCAGCCGCCAGCGUUCAGCCCAAAGGGUCACACGCAUUAGUAAAUCUGCUCUACCCUGAUAUUUUGGUAUCCAAGUGCCAGCCCGUCUUUGGAGAUGGAGUUUGAUGAAUUACCUGCAAACUCAACUGUCGGACAUUUAAUAAAUCAACCGUGCCACACUUAUUAUUCUAACACACAUGCUGUAGGGGCAGUAAUCAUGCCAAUAAAUCAUAUUUGAUAAGGAUAACACACUGUUAUUCUCCAGUUUACUUUCACAUGCAGGAUUAUAAUAGGAUGGCAUGCAGUUUGAAGGUCCACUUUAUUGGAGCGCAUGAAGACAAAAGCCACAGUUUAGAUUUCCACACGGCAAAGUUGUUUGGUGGGAAAACUAAAUUCAUUAAGCGACUGGUGAGAGCAGAUUGUCAGGGUUGAAUAAAUAGGACGGCACAGGAAAUAAGUUGGCAGAGACAGUGGCGUCGGUGCAGAGAGGAGGAAGCUUUAAACAAUGCCAAACAAAGCAGCGGAGAAGAAAAAGCUUGUUGUCGAACAGCCACGAGGAUCAGAGGGAGGUUUUGUAUUAGGGACUUAGUGGGCACAUGGUGUGCUUUUUACAUUAGCUAAAGUAGCGCAGAGGAAAACCACAAUGGAGCGGCCGUGUUUUCCUGAACAAAAGCGUGGCUUUAUUUUAUCUUCACAAAAGAUCAAUGUUGUUUUUCAGAGUGAAAAAAGAGGAGAAAUAGAUUAGUCUCUGUGCCAGUUUAUUAUCCCAACCACAGUUUUUCAUUACAGAUGAAUUUCCCACCAAACUUCAUGCAGUUGUGCAGCAACAGCUUUGGUUUUCCGAUGUUAUGCGUGAAAUUUCUUUGGAUCUUCGACAUUUCAACAUCACAUUGUCUUUUUUUGUGUGUGUUUAAAUUAAAUUUGCCGAAUGUUUAAUUCUUAAAAAGACAAAAAAUGUACAUCUAAACAGCAACAGCUGCUCUGUUAAGAUUUCGUCCCAACUGUCCUUACGGGUGGAUUCAGGCUGUCCGGGGUGAAAAACGGUCAGACCUGUACGGAGUAGGUAACCUGUACACAGGUAACCCACACGAAAUAUCAAGAUCAUAGACCGCUCAGUGAAGUCAGAGUUAAAAUGUUCAUGCACAUAAGGGCACGCUGGGAGGGACAGGUCGUAUUGAACACUAAAAAAAACAUUUAAGGAUAAUGUAGUUGAGACACAGACUUUUGUACAGAUCGUUAAUUUUAUCAACCUCUCUCCAAAUCAGAGAAACAUCAACUAUGCUGAUGUUAGCUUGGGGUUGUUAGGGGCUGUAAGCUAACAGGAGAGCGUGUAAAGCAGGGAUGCCCACAAUAUUUUGGCAUGCGAGCUACUUUUGAGAGGACAAAAUGGUGAAAUGGUGUAGCGUUCUACCUUCUUCAAAGGCCUAAAGCCACUUUAGUCACAGACGCUGGCACUUAACCACACACUGGUGGGGGCUCCGCUGCCGAACACUGGCGCCAACUUUCCACCGGAGGCGCAAAGGUGUGGUUCAGUGUCUUGCCCAAGGAGAUUUCGACGGGCAAGGUGGGAAUCGAACCUGCAAUCUUCUGAUCAAUCCAAUCCAAUCCACUUUAUUUAUAUAGCACAUUUCUCAAACUGGCAGUUUCCAAAGUGCUGUACAGUGACCAAAAACCAGACAAAAGAUUGCCAAACAAAUUAAAAACAAAGUACACCAGAAAAAUGGAUGAAAAAUAAAAUUAAAAUAAAAACAAGGUAAAAACAAGAUAAAAAUAGAUUAAAAAAGAAGACAGAUAAAAACACAGAUAAAGAUAAAAAUACAGUAAAAACACAGAGGAUCAGGGUUUGACCGCCCUACUGCUGCACUAAAGUCCAAAAGAUCUACCUUCAAAAAUACUUACCUAUUUAUAUAUAAAUUUAAGUUCAACUUCAAAGUUGACAACAAGUUGACAACAGUAUUUUUAGUCUAAAUGUUUAUGUACCAAUAAUUAAAAAAAAUACAGUGAAGGUACACAAAUCUUUAUGAGAUGAGACGUUGUGUAGAACAAUAGAUACUAGUUAUUAAUUCAACUUCAAAGUUGUCAACUUCUAAUACAUAUUCCGUCAAAAAUACAAUAUGUUUAUGUACUAUUAAUAAAACAACACAGUAAGAGUACACGCAUUUUUGUGAGGAGAUAGCUGAGAAUGAAUGUUACUUUUGUAGUAAUAACUAGACAGAACAGAUAAGGCGUUUUAUUGUGAAAACAAAAAGCAGUGACGAUUGCAUUUCAUGUUCUGCUGUAAACUGUGUAAUGGGGGGGGGGGGGUAGUAUUUCUAAAUCCCCUGGUGUAAGCAAACAAAUGCUUAGACUUGAGCUUAGACUCACUUCCAAACGCCAACAGUCCCACCCGCAAUCUGGAGGCGAGUUUCUA